rnacentral:rRNA from 1 species
GACGAACGCUGGCGGCGUGCUUAACACAUGCAAGUCGAACGGAAAGGCCCCUUUGGGGGUACUCGAGUGGCGAACGGGUGAGUAACACGUGAGUAACCUGCCCUUGACUUCGGGAUAACUUCAGGAAACUGGGGCUAAUACCGGAUAGGAAUCCUUGCUGCAUGGUGGGGGUUGGAAAGCUUCGGCGGUUUUGGAUGGACUCGCGGCUUAUCAGCUUGUUGGUGGGGUAGUGGCUUACCAAGGCUUUGACGGGUAGCCGGCCUGAGAGGGCGACCGGCCACAUAGGGACUGAGAUACGGCCCAGACUCCUACGGGAGGCAGCAGUGGGGAAUAUUGCACAAUGGGCGGAAGCCUGAUGCAGCAACGCCGCGUGCGGGAUGACGGCCUUCGGGUUGUAAACCGCUUUCAGCAGGGGCGAAGCUUGUGGUGACGGUACCUGCAGAAGAAGCACCGGCUAACUACGUG